rnacentral:rRNA from 1 species
UAGGGAAUCUUCCACAAUGGACGAAAGUCUGAUGGAGCAACGCCGCGCGAGUGAAGAAGGGUUUUGGCUCGUAAAACUCUGUUGUUAAAGAAGAACAUAUCUGAGAGUAACUGUUCAGGUAUUUACGGUAUUUAACCAGAAAGCCACGGCUAACUACGUGUCAG